GCUCUUUCUUAUGUUGUUAUCAUGUGUCUAUUUGGAUUCUCCAGGUGCACAUUUUUUGUUUGGAUAAAAGCUCACAGAAACUGAAACCAGAUGUAUGCAGCUUUGCCAGGCGUGGAGCACCAGCGUAAACCAGCUAAGACCACUCUUCUAAGCUUUCAGCCUGGUAAAGCUGGUUUUUCGAUCUGAACAGCUAAAAGUGGACUCUAAAAACCUCUCUAAAACCAGCCUGCUACACCAGCUAAAACCAAACUGGGAGACCAGGUCAACUUAGGUCCACGUGCUCAUCUCCACUCAAACCUUUGCAGAGAAAUGAAACAAUAACUGCAUGAUUGAUCUACAGUCGCCACCUGGUGGUGAUAAAAAUGAAUAGCAUUAAUAGAAAGUAUGACUUCAACAUAUUUUUGGUGGUAUGGUACAGUGCUUUAUAUAGAUUAAUGGUCUAUCUCUAUUUAUAGUUGUAUUAUGCCACAUUUAACCUCCUAAGACCUGGAUGUCACGUAUGUGGACAUCAAUGUUUUUGUUGUUUGCACCAUAAUACUUAAUUCUGUGUAACUGGAACCUCUUAUACACAAACAUGGACAAAUACACUGCUUCAUGUUCAAAGAAAAAUAUUUGGUUAUUAUAUUUAUUGGAUCCCCAAAAUAGCUGGUAGAAAUCUGAAAAAAAAAGACAAACCAAAGCUCGAUCUUAGGAGGUUAAUUUAGGCUUCAUGUUAUCUGACCAAAGAUAGGAGAUUGUUGCAUAAAAUUGGUUUGGGGGCAGAAAAAAUUAUUUUGGUAGUGGAAACAUUUUUUAAGAUCUUUUCCUCUCAUCUCAUUCAGUAUUUUGUCCACCACCAUGACCCUUUAGUCUCUGUGGUGGUUCUUCAUGAGUCAACAUGUCAAAUGUCCUUUAAUGUUUUUGGGAAUUAUAGUGUUUAGUGAAUUUAACCCUGCAGUAAACCCAGCAAUAUGUAACUCUGUUGAUGCUUUAACUGCUGUAAGGGAUGAGGGAUUAUAAUCUUACUUAAUGUCUGUUAUUGACUGACUGCCAAUGUUUAACUAUUUGAUAUGCG